rnacentral:rRNA from 1 species
CAUUAAAGAAUCGCCCCGUUUUUCGAAAUGGGUUCUAUUCCCAAACCGUGUAUACAUACCUUUGUUGCUUUGGCAGGCCGCCUUUUAGGCGUCGGCUUCGGCUGACUGCGCCUGCCAGAGGACCCAAACUCGUUUGUUUAGUGAUGUCUGAGUACUAUAUAAUAGUUAAAACUUUCAACAACGGAUCUCUUGGUUCUGGCAUCGAUGAAGAACGCAGCGAAAUGCGAUAAGUAAUGUGAAUUGCAGAAUUCAGUGAAUCAUCGAAUCUUUGAACGCACAUUGCGCCCCUUGGUAUUCCGAGGGGCAUGCCUGUUCGAGCGUCAUUAUAACCACUCAAGCCUCGGCUUGGUCUUGGGGUUCCGCGGUCUCGCGGCCCUUAAAAUCAGUGGCGGUGCCAUCUGGCUCUAAGCGUAGUAAUUUCUCUCGCUAUAGGGUCCCGGUGGUCUCCUGCCAGAACCCCCCCAUUUUUUACGGUUGACCUCGGAUCAGGUAGGGAUACCC